rnacentral:rRNA from 1 species
GUCGAACGCUGGCGGCGUGCCUAAUACAUGCAAGUCGAACGAGAGCGACCGGUGCUUGCCCUGGUCAAUCUAGUGGCGAACGGGUGAGUAACACGUGGGUAACCUGCCCAUCAGAGGGGGAUAACAUCCGGAAACGGAUGCUAAAACCGCAUAGGUCUUCGAGCCGCAUGGCUUGAAGAGGAAAAGAGGCGCAAGCUUCUGCUGAUGGAUGGACCCGCGGUGCAUUAGCUAGUUGGUGAGGUAACGGCUCACCAAGGCCGUGAUGCAUAGCCGACCUGAGAGGGUGAUCGGCCACAUUGGGACUGAGACACGGCCCAAACUCCUACGGGAGGCAGCAGUAGGGAAUCUUCCGCAAUGGACGCAAGUCUGACGGAGCAACGCCGCGUGAGUGAAGAAGGUGUUCGGAUCGUAAAACUCUGUUGUUAGAGAAGAACAAGUGCUAGAGUAACUGUUAGCGCCUUGACGGUAUCUAAACAGAAAGCCACGGCUAACUACGUG